CAUGAGAGGGAAAGCCAUGGAUGGUGAGACGGUGGACGGACCACUGCCGCGGCUGAGGACCCAGCGGCUCCACCUAGGCUCCUAGCUCCCUCACCUACACCAUCACCAGCUCCACUGGGCUCCCUCGUCCCUCUGGCUCCACCUGCGACCCACCAUCACCUUUUGAUUAGUCAUCCCAUGCACCUAUGUUUCCCCAAUCAUCCCCUGUAUUUAAGUCCUAGUCUGUGCAGUCUGCCUCUGUUGGGUCAACUUGCUGUCUACACGUGUUGCUCAAGCUCCUGUUGUGGAUUAUUCCCAGUGCUUCCCUGAUUAAAGACUGUUAAACAUUU